rnacentral:rRNA from 1 species
GGUGAGCUACCCCGAGACAGCCUAUAUUAAUCUAGGGCUAACCCGUCUCUGUGGCAAAAGAGUGGGAAGAGCUCCGGGUAGAAGUGAAAGACCUACCGAACCUGGUGAUAGCUGGUUGACUGAGAAAUGGAUAGAAGUUCAGCCUCGUACACCCCAAACCAAGAAAUGUUAUCGCCAAGAUAUUUAGGGAAACGUACGAGAGUUAGUUGAAAGGGGUACAGCCCUUUUAACAAAGGAUACAACCUUUACAGGAGGAUAAAGAUCAUAAUGUAUAAGAUAUACUGUUCUAGUGGGCCUGAAAGCAGCCACCUAAACAGAAAGCGUUAAAGCUCGGACAGAAAGAAGUUUAUUAUACUGAUAAAAAAUCUUAUUCCCCUAACUUUAUCAGACCAACCCAUGCCCACAUGGAAGAGAUUAUGCUAAAAUGAGUAAUAAGAAGACCCGCUCUUCUCCCAGCACAAGUGUAAACCAGAUCGGACCAACCACUGGAGCUUAACGAACCCAACCCAAGAGGGUAGUGUGACUAAGAGAAAACACGAGAAGACCUCACAUUAAUUGAUCGUUAACCCCACACUGGAGUGCUAUUUUAAGGGAAAGACUAAAAGAAGAGGAAGGAACUCGGCAAACACAAGCCUCGCCUGUUUACCAAAAACAUCGCCUCCUGCAACUAAACUGAGUAUAGGAGGUCCAGCCUGCCCAGUGACUACGGGUUCAACGGCCGCGGUAUCUUGACCGUGCAAAGGUAGCGCAAUCACUUGUCUCUUAAAUAGAGACCUGUAUGAAUGGCUAGACGAGGGCUUAACUGUCUCCCCCUUCCAGUCAGUGAAAUUGAUCUAUCCGUGCAGAAGCGGGUAUAAAUAUACAAGACGAGAAGACCCUUUGGAGCUUAAGGUACAAAUUCAACCACGUUAAACGACUCUGUAAAAGGCAAGAACUUAGUGACAAUGAAAUUUUACCUUCGGUUGGGGCGACCGCGGAGGAAAAACGAGCCUCCGAGUGGACUGGGCCAAACCCCUGAAGCCAAUAGAAACAUCUAUAAGCCGCAGAACAUCUGACCAAAAAUGAUCCGGCUAAAGAGCCGAUCAACGAACCAAGUUACCCAAGGGAUAACAGCGCAAUCCCCUCCCAGAGCCCAUAUCUACGAGGGGGUUUACGACCUCGAUGUUGGAUCAGGACAUCCUAAUGGUGC